AACGCGAAGAACCUUACCAGCUCUUGACAUCCCAAGACCGCCACGGAGACGUGGUUUUCCCUUCGGGGACUUGGAGACAGGUGCUGCAUGGCUGUCGUCAGCUCGUGUCGUGAGAUGUUGGGUUAAGUCCCGCAACGAGCGCAACCCUCGCCCUUAGUUGCCAGCAUUCAGUUGGGCACUCUAGGGGGACUGCCGGUGAUAAGCCGAGAGGAAGGUGGGGAUGACGUCAAGUCCUCAUGGCCCUUACGGGCUGGGCUACACACGUGCUACAAUGGCGGUGACAGUGGGCAGCUACUUGGGGAGGAGAAGCUAAUCCCAAAAAGCCGUCUCAGUUCGGAUUGCACUCUGCAACUCGAGUCCAUGAAGUCGGAAUCGCUAGUAAUCGCGUAACAGCA
rnacentral:rRNA from 1 species